GUGGUGGAGGAGUGGGGAGCCGGCCUGUCUGCCCGCUCUCCGUCCCGGCCCAACAGCCAGCCCUCUUCAGCCCUGUCUUUCCAGCCUUCCUCCCAGCCAGCACCCGCGGACACACCAGGCUUCUCCCAGGAUCCGCUCGCCAGCCCUUCCCCUGCAGAGCACAGGCCCAGAGCCUUGGACCUGGUGCUCCGCCCAGGUCUUCGGGAACUAGCCAUGGGACUGCGGAGAAGCCCACACAGCCUUGGGUCUCUGUUUUCCUCAUCUGAAGCCCAGGAGCACAAGUGCUUACCUUCAGGUUCAGGAAUUCAAAUUUAAUUCAGUGUCCUCUGAUUUUAUUUGUGGAAUCUGGGAACUUGAACUUGAACUUGAAGGGAACCACAGUCUCUGUCCCAAGUUGUUGAGGGCGCCCCUUCUUAGCAACAGAUACAUACUAAUCCUGACGCAGGGGCAGCCAUUUUGUAGCUGCAAAGGGACAUGCCAAAGAACCAAGCCAAUGAGAAGAUGAAGAAAGAUGAGAAGAACGUGGGCCUUCGAUGACUUCACUGCGCUGCUGAACUUCUCUGGAAUUGCGUUUCCCUGUAAGGUUACAUGAGGUAAUGCCUUUUCCUCAUUGUUUUAUUUACUUUUAAUCUGAGUGUUUGAUUAUUGCAACAAAAGCAUCCCAACUUAAACAAGUACUAGAGACUUUCUUUUUACAUAAUCAGAACUGAAGGAGGAAAAAAAUGAAAAAGGAAUACAUUUAUCAGCAGGUAAUUCAUCAUUAUUUAAGGGCAUAUCCACACAGUAUGUAAAAUAACCUAUUAUACCACCCAAUAUCUCCCAUAAAAUAGGCAUUCUACGACUUGGGGCACUCUGUAGAAUUAUUAUCUCUAUUUUUUGGAUGAGAAAAAUAACAAUGGUCACAAAGUUAAAUUGCUGAAUAACCUUCAUUUACUAAAGAAACCUGAAUUUGUAUGGUACAGUUGAAACUAGUAUUUCAGGUGAGGAAGAGCCGGGCAGUUUCUAGCCCAAGGCUUCGUUCCCUCUAGGGGCUCUCUGCCUACUUCCCUCUGACACCUCCACACUGGCCUCCGGGAUAGUCAUUCUCUACUCUCUUAGAUGCUCCUUCCCUCAGGCUCCUGACUCAGCCAAGAUGGGCUGGGGCUCUUCCCAAGAGCAUGAUGAAUCCUGAAUGAGACAAACACAGGAACAAUGCAGAUGGAGACGAAUUAUUCUAAAAUUUAUACGGAAAUGCAAAGGAACUGGAGUAGCUAAAAGAGUUUUGCAAAAGAAAAGAUGAAGUAAGUGUUAGUCUACCUAACUUUGCAGGUGUUAUAUAGCCACAGUAAUGAACACUUUGGGUUGUUGGUGUGAAGGACACAGAUUGGUGGGACAGAGCAGAGAACCCGGAAGGAGACCCACACCUAUGCCCAACUCCGUUUCGAUAAAGAAGCAAAAGUAACCCACUAGAGGAAGGACAACCCUUGAAACAAAAGGUGUGGAACAUUCAGACAAUCCAAACACACAAAAACGUGACCCUCGAUCUAGACCCCAUAGCCUGUAUAAAAAUUAACUCAAAAUGGAUCAUAAACUUAAAUGUGAGACAUAAAACUAUAAAACUUUUUAGAAAAACAAACGAACAUGGGAGAAGAAUCUUUGGAAUUUGGGGCUCAGCAGAGUUCUUGGCCUUGACACCAAAAGCACUCUCCGUAAGAGGAAACAUUGAUAAACUGGACUUCAUCAAAAUCUAAAACUUUUGCUUUGUGAAAGGCCUAGGAAAGAGGAUAAAACAAUAAACUGUAGGGGUGCUCGGGUGGCUCAGUGGGUUAAGCCAGC